AACUCCCUAACAACAGACCGCAUGCCCUGAGCCGCUUAAUGUCUCUUGUUCGUAGCUUUGAAAGGAAAGAAGAAAUGAAGGAACAUUUCAUCACGUUUAUGGACAAAAUAUUUGAAAACAAACAUGCAGAGCUUGCCCCUCCACUGAAAGACGAAGAGGAAUGUUGGUAUUUGCCACUAUUCGGUGUCUACCACCCUCGCAAGCCCAAACAGAUUAGGGUCGUCUUUGACAGCAGCGCGAAGUACAAGAAUGUGUCACUAAAUGAUGUGUUGUUGACAGGACCAGAUCUUAACAACUCACUGUUAGGUGUCCUAAUACGCUUCAGAAAGGAAGCUGUUGCCUUCACAGCCGACAUUGAACAGAUGUUUUACUGUUUCAAUGUUCGAGAGCAAGACAGAAAUUACUUGCGUUUUUUGUGGUUUCGUGACAAUGACAUUUCCAAAGACAUUGUAGAGUAUAGGAUGAGAGUCCACGUCUUUGGGAAUAGCCCAUCACCAGCAGUGGCCAUAUACGGCUUACAUCAGUCUGUUCUACGCAACCAGCCAGAUUGUGAUCCAGAUGUCAAGCAGUUUGUCACACACGACUUCUACGUAGACGACGGACUCAAAUCCCUCCCCACUGUUGAAAUGGCUGUGUCCUUAUUACAAAGAACCCGUGACACACUUGCAAACUCAAAUCUAAGACUGCAUAAAAUAGCAGCUAACAGAAAAGAGGUACUCGAAGCAUUCCCUUCACAAGAUCAUGCCAAAGACUUAAAGGACUUGGACUUUGAAGCUGAUUCAGUCCCCAUGCAACGUAGCCUGGGUCUCCUUUGGGACCUAAAGAAAGACUGCUUCACCUUUAGAGUGUCAGACGAGACAAAGCCCUUUACUAGACGAGGUGUUUUAUCAACAAUAAACAGCCUUUAUGAUCCAUUAGGCUUUGUAGCACCAGUAACAAUGCAGGGAAAGUCCAUUCUGCGUGAACUUAUGGCAGAGAAUGGAGACUGGGAUGCACCAUUGCCCUCAGAAAUGGAAGAGUCCUGGACCCUGUGGAAAGACUCACUUAAAGAACUGUCCAACUUGACCAUUCCCAGAGCAUACACAGAAAUUUCUCCCUCAACAACUACAAAAAAAGAGUUGUUGGUAUUUUCGGACGCAUCUACUAAGGCUAUAGCUGCAGUGGCCUAUUUAAGAGUAACAGAUGCAGCUAGGAACUGUGAAGUAGGCUUUGUUUUAGGUAAGGCAAAGUUAGCACCACGCCCAGAUCAGACCAUACCAAGAUUAGAGCUUAGUGCUGCUGUGUUAGCAGUCGAGCUUGCAGAUCUUCUCACUGACGAAUUAGGCUUUGAAAUAGACUACACUGCAUUCUAUACAGACAGUAAAGUAGUUCUAGGUUAUAUCCACAACGAGACAAGAAGAUUUUAUGUCUACGUGGCUAACCGUGUUACGAGAAUCCGCAAAUCUUCUCAACCAAGCCAAUGGCAUUACGUACCGAGCAGCCAGAACCCAGCAGAUCACGCCACACGUUCUGUUCCUGCUUACCAGCUACCUCUUAGUAACUGGCUCACUGGCCCUGACUUCAUGCUCCAAGAUCAAAGUCCCUCAAAUGACUCUUUUGAACUUGUUGAACCUUGCACAGACUCUGAUGUCAGACCACAGGUGUCUACACUCAAAACCACAAUCUCAACCAAACAACUUGGCUCUGACAGAUUCAACAAGUUUUCGACAUGGAAGUCUCUCAAGCGUGCUGUUUCGAGACUACUACACGUCAUACAUAACUUCAAAUCACUGCCAAGCAAAAUCAAUCACUGCCGUGGUUGGCACUACUGUGAGACAGGACUCACUGUAGACGAGUCAAACCAAACCCAAAAGGUAACCCCUCUUAAGGCUCCAGUUGGCAACUUUACAGCGUCAGACCUCUACAAACAUCAGUGGCGCCAAGUCCAGCACCUGUCAAACACCUUCUGGGACAGGUGGAAGAAGGAGUUCCUUCCCACUCUCCAACCACGUCGCAAGUGGCAUUCCAGUCAACUUAACGUGAGCGUAGGUACGGUCGUUAUACUCAAAGACAGCCAAAUUCCCCGAAAUGAAUGGCCUCUUGCACGUGUAACUCAGGUGUUCCCAAGUAAAGAUGGCAAAGUCCGUUCAGUAGAGCUAAGGGUAGUCAGGUCAGAUGAUACAAAGGUAUUGACCAGACCCAUCUCAGAAAUUGUACCUUUGAUUAUUUAAUGAGAGGUAUUUGUUUGUUUUUUCCAGUUAUUUUUGUGGCGUUUAUCCACGCCAAGCGGGGAGUGUUCUGUUACAACUAAAAGUUGUAAACUCUUGUUGUUGAAAUGUGUUGUGCUUAAAUAAGCUUGUUAUGUAAUUAAUAUUAUUACAUGUGUAUUUGUCGCCAUCAUGUGGUCAUGGCAGUUAAUACAUCUUUGAGAAGUGUGUAUUUUGAAUCAAACUUUAUUGACCGGAAGUUACAUAAGCCAAGCAGAGAAAUCUCCGGUUCCAGCACGUACUUUAUGGUGGUUAUUUUCGAAGAAAAACUGCAUAUAUCCUUUGUUUAAGGUUGCAUCGCCGUUUCACCCUUUUGAAUGUCAUUAAACCUGCUGACAACGCUCA